rnacentral:ribozyme from 1 species
AUUUCCAUGCGGACGGGGAGUGAAGUCUUUCAGCUG